GCGGGCGUAACUCAAUUGGUAGAGUGUCAGCCUUCCAAGCUGAAUGUUGCGAGUUCGAGCCUCGUCGCCCGCUCAA
rnacentral:tRNA from 1 species